GCUGUUUUGGCUCAGUGGAUAGAGCGUUGGCCUGCGGACUGAAGGGUCCCAGGUUCAAUUCCGGCCAACAGCA
rnacentral:tRNA from 1 species